UACGUAGGGUGCGAGCGUUGUCCGGAAUUAUUGGGCGUAAAGAGCUCGUAGGCGGUCUGUCGCGUCGGAUGUGAAAGCCCGGGGCUUAACUCCGGGUCUGCAUUCGAUACGGGCAGACUAGAGUGUGGUAGGGGAGAUCGGAAUUCCUGGUGUAGCGGUGAAAUGCGCAGAUAUCAGGAGGAACACCGGUGGCGAAGGCGGAUCUCUGGGCCAUUACUGACGCUGGAGGAGCGAAAGCGUGGGGAGCGAACAGG
rnacentral:rRNA from 1 species